AGAGAAGUUGUGUAUAGUUUCAGCCAAAGCUGAGACCUGGGAUGAGCAGUCAUGCAGUGAAAUGAUUUUAAGAUGACUUGAUGAUAUGUACUUUAAAAAUGGCCAAAUAGAGGUGUUCUGGAAAGCCUGCUUUUUCUCCCUCUCUCCAAAGAGCAGAUCAGUGCACCUCUGGGAAAACAAACGAACAAAAAACCCAUGAAGUUUACUUUCCUAGAAUUGGGAUUAAAAUUACUCAAUUCUUAAAACCAAAAACUGCCUUUCAGAAAUCCAAUCUCAAUUUUAUAGUUUUUGAAUAUUCCCCUUAUGUUUUUUUUUCUUUUCCCCCCCCCCUAUUUUUAGAAUUAAAUAUGCAAAACCUUAGAAUUUUAAAUAGCAUUUAGGUUGGAAUGUUAAAAAGUUUAAAGAUACUGAUACAACUUCAAAAAUAUUUUUAAGAAAAAACACAUUUGAACAUAAUUGUUUUGGACCAGAACCAGACCUUCAUGAACACCAGAAGCUAGUUUCAUGCCUUUUAUUCAGAAGGUGUUGAAAAGCUAUUUUGGAACUAUUUUUACAGUGAAUCCACUGAAUCUGCUCAGUUCAGCAUCUACUGGUACAUGUGGUUGAUCCUCCUCAGUGACAGGACUUUCCACUUCUCCUUGCUGAACUUCAUGAGGUUCCAGUCAGCACCUUUCUCCAGGCUUCUGAGGUCCUUCUGGAUGGCAGCAUUGACCCUCUGAUACAUCAGAUACUCUUUCCCAUAUUUUAUGAUAAGGAAACUUACAGAGAAUGCACUCUGCCCCAUCAUUUAGAUCGUUAAAGAAAAUCUUAAACAGAACUGGACCCAGUAUUGAUCACUGAGGUACAGGGAAAAUAGUUACUGGCCUCCAACUAUAUCUUGUACCACUGUUCACCACCCUCUGGGCUCUGCUGUUCAACUAACUGCUCAUCCAGUCCGUAUUUCAACAGCUUGUCUGAGAGGAUCUUAUGGGAAACAGUACUGAAAGCAUUCUUGAAGUAAAGAACAAUACCCAUUGUUUUCCUGUCAUCUUCCAAAGCAACCAUUUCAUCAUAGAAUGUUAUCAUAUUGCUUAAAUAUUAUUUCCCCUUGGAAAUUCAAUCUGACUUCCUCUGAUGAAUUUCUUCUCCUUCAAGUUCCUGGCAAUGGUUUCCAGAAUGAAAACAAUUGGUUCCAUCACCUUCCCAGGAAUCAAGUUGAAGCUGUCCAGCUGGUAUUUCCCUGGGUCCUUCUUGCCCUUCAAGAAGAUAAAAGUGACAUUUGCUUUCCUCUAGUCCUUAUGCAACUCUCCCGGUCACCAGGAUCCUUCAAAGAUUAUUGGGAGUGACCUUGCAAUGACAUCAGGUGGUUUCUUUAUAUUCAGAAAGCUUUUCCAGCAUGGAAUUCACUACUAAAUUACUUUAAGCUCCCUUAAUAGAAAUUUCCAGGAAAUGAACUGCAAAUAAAAAUUCCUUGGUGUUU
ensembl:lncRNA